GUCUGCCUGUUAUGUCCUUUAUCUUUGUAUAUUUGUGUAUGCGUGUGGUUCUUUGGUACUGUAUGUGUGCAUUUUCUUGUAUAAGUUUGGAUGUUGUGUUGCGUUUGUGAGUGUUGGUUCAGGACGAAGGGUGAUGUAAUUGUUGGAGUCACUGUGGAUGAUGAAUGUGUAAAUACUGUUUGUUGGUGGUUGGGAAAGUAAUUUUGAUCUUUAUAUAAUUGAUCUUUAUAUAGUUCUUUACAUUGUUUUCCUGGGUAAGGUUCAUUGGUUCAUUCACGUGUAAGUUUAGGGUCGAUAGUUCGAAGCUCUAUGACACAUUUUGAAGCUUCUGUAGUCAUUUCGAAGCCUUCGUCGGAGGUAGGGUUCGACUGGGUUGUCAGUUCUCUUCUCACCGUCCUGAAGGACCUUAUUCCUGUCAAGGGCCGGGCAGCAAAAGCGUCCUACGUGGAAGUUCACUUGUAGCUGGUGGUUGACAUCCAGUGAGGGAACCAGCUUGUGAGUGAGCCUCUCACCAACCGUUCUUGUCUCCUGUUGGUUGGAUGCAGAUGUGUUACCUACCAGAGGAAACUCCAGUGCUGUAGGAAAGUGGACGUGACCACAGCGGCUCUGUUCUGUUACACUCUGCGUUCUGGGUGCAACGAGUUCCCGGCAUCACGCCAGAUCUCCAGUUCUUAAACACGAGUGUGAAUAUGUCGGUACCCUGCGUGCAGGAGUGCUGAUUGACAAUUUGUAUUUUGUGGGAAUGUUAGCUGUUAGGUUUGUUUGAAUGCCUGUGUGUUGUUUGAAUGCCUGUGUGUCUUCGUGAGUUUUGGUUGUGUGUUAUUGUGUGUGGGUGUGACGGGUGGCGUGAGUAUGAAUAAAUUGUGAAUUACA